rnacentral:rRNA from 1 species
AACGAGCGCUGGCGGCAUGCCUAACACAUGCAAGUCGAACGAGACCUUCGGGUCUAGUGGCGCACGGGUGCGUAACGCGUGGGAACCUACCCUUAGGUUCGGAAUAACUCCCCGAAAGGGGUGCUAAUACCGGAUAAUGUCUUCGGACCAAAGAUUUAUCGCCUUUGGAUGGGCCCGCGUUGGAUUAGCUAGUUGGUAGGGUAAAAGCCUACCAAGGCGACGAUCCAUAGCUGGUCUGAGAGGAUGAUCAGCCACACUGGGACUGAGACACGGCCCAGACUCCUACGGGAGGCAGCAGUGGGGAAUAUUGGACAAUGGGCGAAAGCCUGAUCCAGCAAUGCCGCGUGAGUGAUGAAGGCCUUAGGGUUGUAAAGCUCUUUUACCCGGGAUGAUAAUGACAGUACCGGGAGAAUAAGCUCCGGCUAACUCCGUG